rnacentral:lncRNA from 1 species
UUUUGGACUGCUUUAUUGUUUAAGAAGAAUAAGUAUAUUUAAGAUAACUAAGAGUAGUUUUAUUCUGUUAAAAAUAGUACUUCUUUGAAGAUCUUUAUAUAUCCUUAUGAAACCCUGCCUGUAGGAAUCCUUUGUAAUGUAAAUUCUUGAAAGUGGUCACUGAGCGAAAGGAAUGCCUAAAAAUUCAUGUUUAAAAAAUGAAUGCAAGUAUUUUAAUGAAGCUGGCACACUAAUUUCAGUGUUUAUUAUUCCUUCAUUUCAAAGUAAUCCCUUCAUAAAGUAAUGAAAGACAAAGUGCUAGAAAGAGUUUAAACAUUAAUGGGUUUAGAAACUAAAUGUUUCUGUGGUUUAUAUAGAAAAAAAACUACCUAGUGGUCAGCAUUAGGUUUAAGGUAGCAGAAGCAGAUACUUGUAGCCAAGAGUUUUGAUCUUGUAUGUUAAAAGGAUGUAAGGUGCUUCAUGAAGUGUGUAUGAAUAAAGUUAG